rnacentral:rRNA from 1 species
GGUUCUGGCAUCGAUGAAGAACGCAGCGAAAUGCGAUAAGUAAUGUGAAUUGCAGAAUUCAGUGAAUCAUCGAAUCUUUGAACGCACAUUGCGCCCGCCAGUAUUCUGGCGGGCAUGCCUGUCUGAGCGUCAUUUCAACCCUCAGCCCCCGCUCGCGGGGCGCUGGCGUU